rnacentral:rRNA from 1 species
UACGUAGGGGGCGAGCGUUGUCCGGAAUCAUUGGGCGUAAAGAGCGUGUAGGCGGCUUGGCAAGUCUGACGUGAAAGCCCGCGGCUCAACCGCGGAUUGUCGUUGGAAACUGCCUCGCUAGAGUCCGGAAGAGGAGAGCGGAAUUCCUGGUGUAGCGGUGGAAUGCGCAGAUAUCAGGAAGAACACCAAUGGCGAAGGCAGCUCACUGGGACGGCACUGACGCUGAGACGCGAAAGCGUGGGGAGCAAACAGG